rnacentral:rRNA from 1 species
GCGAACAUUGGCGGUAGGCUUAACACAUGCAAGUCGAGCGAGGCGUAAUAGUCGAGCGGCGAACGGGUGCGUAAUACAUGGGAAUCUACCUCGAAGUGGGGGAUAACGUUCAGAAAUGGACGCUAAUACCGCAUAAUCCAUAUUGGGAAAGCGUUGCAGCGCUUUGAGAUGAGCCCAUGGCUGAUUAGCUUGUUGGUGAGGUAAAGGCCUACCAAGGCGACGAUCGGUAGCUGGUCUGAGAGGACGACCAGCCACACUGGGACUGAGACACGGCCCAGACUCCUACGGGAGGCAGCAGUGGGGAAUAUUGGACAAUGGGGGCAACCCUGAUCCAGCAAUGCCGCGUGGGUGAAGAAGGCCUGCGGGUUGUAAAGCCCUUUCGACGGGGAGGAAGGCACCGGCGCGAAUAGCGUUGGUGAUUGACGUAACCUGGAGAAGAAGCACCGGCUAACUCCGU